UCCAGGGUGGCUUAGUGGUUAGCGCAUUUGCCUCGUACCUCCAAGGCUGGGGUUCGAUUCCUGCCUCUACCCUGUAU